AUGCCAUGGAGGCCAAGGACCAGAGGGGAAACCCUUCUCCCAUCUAGGGAGGAGGUCAAGGAAGAAGAGGAAGAAGGGGGCCCCUCUCCCCAUCUCCUCCGGUGGCGCCGGAACGCCGCCGUGGCCAUCAUCAUCAUCACCGCGAUCUUCACCAAUACCUCCGCCAUCUUCACCAACAUCUCCAUCACCUUCCCCCCUCUAUCUACAGCGGUCCACUCUCCCGCAACCCACUGUACCCUCUACUUGAACAUGGUGCUUUAUGCUUUAUAUUGUUAUCCAAUGAUGUGUUGCCAUCCUAUGAUGUCUGAGUAG
rnacentral:rRNA from 1 species